GACAGAGGUGCCAAGCGUUAGGCGGAAUCACUGGGCUUAAAGCGUGUGUAGGCGGAUCGUUAAGUACCUUGUGAAAUCCCACGGCUCAACCGUGGAACGGCUGGGUAUACUGGCGAUCUUGGGCCACUCAGGGGCGAGCGGAACAAGUGGUGGAGCGGUGAAAUGCGUAGAUAUCACUUGGAACGCCGACGGUGAAAACAGCUCGCUGGGAGUGUGCCGACGCUGAGACACGAAAGCCAGGGGAGCGAACGGG
rnacentral:rRNA from 1 species